GACGAACGCUGGCGGCGUGCCUAAUACAUGCAAGUCGAGCGAAUGGAAGGGAGCUUGCUCCCUGAAGUUAGCGGCGGACGGGUGAGUAACACGUGGGCAACCUGCCUGUAAGACUGGGAUAACUUCGGGAAACCGGAGCUAAUACCGGAUACGUUCUUUCCUCGCAUGAGGAAAGAUGGAAAGAUGGUUUCGGCUAUCACUUACAGAUGGGCCCGCGGCGCAUUAGCUAGUUGGUGGGGUAACGGCCCACCAAGGCGACGAUGCGUAGCCGACCUGAGAGGGUGAUCGGCCACACUGGGACUGAGACACGGCCCAGACUCCUACGGGAGGCAGCAGUAGGGAAUCUUCCGCAAUGGACGAAAGUCUGACGGAGCAACGCCGCGUGAGCGAAGAAGGCCUUCGGGUCGUAAAGCUCUGUUGUCAGGGAAGAACAAGUGCCAGAGUAACUGCUGGCACCUUGACGGUACCUGACCAGAAAGCCACGGCUAACUACGUGCCAGCCGCCGCGGUAA
rnacentral:rRNA from 1 species